CCCUAUUAUUAAGAAAAAAAACAACAAUUAGAGAUUAGGUAGUUUACUGAAAACAAUCUAGGGUGGCGGUUUUUCUAAUUAUCAGAUAAAUGUGUUUUUUAAAAACGAAGUUGCACGACUAUCUUUCUUACUUUAGAAAAUUCAUCCUGUACACCGCCGUCUGAAGGGUCAGUGAAAAUAAUUUAACCCCUUUUCUUUAGAGAGAAAUAAGUCAGGUAAGGUGCAGACCAUGGGUAAGAUAAAAUGCAUUUCUUUUUAGAUUCAAGGGAAUGAUUGAAAACCAUUCUUAAGGAGAAUUUGACAGUAAGAUUUUUUUAUCAUAAAAACCUGAAUUAAUAUCAGAAAAAUGUACACAUCGCCCGUCGCU
rnacentral:rRNA from 1 species